rnacentral:lncRNA from 1 species
GGCGGAGAGGCAAGCGGGGGUGGGGGGGGGAGUAGGAUCCCUGCUCAGCAGAGAGCCCGAUGCAGGACUCAAUCCCAGGACCCUGGGACCAUGACCUGAGCCGAAGGCAGAGGCUUAACCCACUGAGCCACUCAGGCGCCCCAAGAUAUUGGGCUUUUAAUUUAUUUUUCUAAUAUUAAUAGGUCUCCAUGAGCUUGAUUAACAUAAUUUCUUGCUGACAGAUUCAGUUUCUGGGUCAGUAAGGCUGUCUUAGUCCAUUGGGGCUGCAAAGUCACUGACUAGGUAGCUCAUAAACAACAAAUUUAUUUCUCACACUUCAGGAGCUGAAGAAGUUUACCAUCAAAGUGCUGGCAGAUUUGGUGUCUGGGACCACCUGGCUGUCUCAAAGUGGAUACACCAUUUUACACUUCCACCUGAAGGUUUCAGUUUCUCCUCAUCCUCAAUACUUGUCAUUAUCUGGAUUUUGACUCACAUCCUCGUGAGUAUGAAGUGGUAUCUCAUUGUUUUUUUUUUUUCUUUUUUAAUUUUCAUUUCC